rnacentral:rRNA from 1 species
GCCUACGGGGCGCAGCAGUGGGGAAUAUUGCGCAAUGGGGGAAACCCUGAUGCAGCGACGCUGCGUGAGUGAAGAAGUAUUUCGGUAUGUAAAGCUCUAUCAGCAGGGAAGAAAAUGACGGUACCUGACUAAGAAGCCCCGGCUAACUACGUGCCAGCAGCCGCGGUAAUACGUAGGGGGCAAGCGUUAUCCGGAUUUACUGGGUGUAAAGGGAGCGUAGACGGCGCGGCAAGUCUGAAGUGAAAGGCAGGGGCGUAACCCCUGAACUGCUUUGGAAACUGCCAUGCUAGAGUGCUGGAGAGGUA